GGGAGGGGCAGGUUCACCCUCAGUCUGUGUGGGCACUGUCUAAUCAGCUGCCAGUGCAGCUAGAAUAAAGCAGGCAGAAGAAGUUGGAAAGAGCAGACUUGCUGAGUCUUCUGGCCUUCAUCUUUCUCCUGUGCAGGAUGCUUCCUGCCCUCAAACUUCAGACUCCAAGUUCUCCAGCUUUUGGUUUCUUGGACUUACACCAGUGAUUUGCCAGGGACUCUCGGGCCUACUACCACAGACUGAAGGCUGCACUGUUGGCUUCCCUACUUUUGAAGUUUGGGGGCUGGCUUCCUAGUUCCUCAGCUUGUGGAUGACCUACUGUGGGACUUCACCUCGUGAUAGGGUUGUAUACCUGCCAUUUUUCUGUCUUCCUGUGACCCUUCUUCAUCUGGAAUAGAGAAAAUCAGGCUCACUGCUGGUAUUAGAAAGUUCUCAAGGCUACCUUAUCCUUCUUGGUUCCUCUCUCGUCUCCUUCUCCCCAGCUCAACCAGUUUUCUAGAGGCUCCAUUGAGACACAGUUGCACUGCCUGCCACUGUGGACCCCAGCCUUCUGCCAAGUGAGGUACUCACAAUGGCUCCUUGUGCCUUGCUGCUGAGGGCUUCUUGAGUCCAUGCUAACGUGUGGGCAUAAUGCUGGUCUGUUGCAUUCUAUUCAGUGUUUUAAGUGCUUCUGCCUAGUGACUGUCUCAUAAGAUGAGUGCCAUGAAGAUACAAGAAAAGGUCAAGAAGACUUUGCAAUAUAGUUGACUAUGGAGACAAUAGGAUUAUCUGUGAGUGGUGAAGAUCUGGAUUUCUAAUCUUCCCUCAUUUGGUCAACCUGUUAGAAGUGAGAAAAUGACCAAAAAGAGGAAAGGAGAGAUUGAAUAUACGAACAGACAAUGGCCAGUCCAUAUAUGAAAAUAGAACUCUGAACAAAAACUUCUGCAGCAACCAUCCCAGGGAGCUGAACCACAGCUUCUCCAGCAAAUAGUCCAGGGAAUGAAACUACAACCUCUAUAGCAAUUGUUUCAGAACAGUAAUCACUUCUUCAAUCACUAAGACGUGAUAUCUUUCCUCACCCAUCAUAAGGGACACAGCUGACAGUCCUAUAACAAAAGACAGCAAGAGGAAGCAUAAAGGAUUUAUUUAAUCAAAGUUUACAUGACAUGGAGGCCUUCAGAAAUGAAGACUCAAAGACUCAGGGAAAACUGUCUAUUUUUAUGCUUAGCUUCAAUAAGGAAUUGGCAGCCAUGUGGAAAUAUAAUUGGACAAAAGGGUAUGAUCUAAUAGUGAAAGACUAAAGGGGAAAACCUGGGAAGGCCUAUUUGUUCAGAUUCUUACUGCCUCUUUGUGUAGCAUGUCUUCUUUCUGGAUAUGAGACUGGACCCAUUUGGAAUGAGGGUCUUCAAGGGAGAAGGGAGAAAGGAGGGAGGGACAUUUAUAGAUUUUACGGGUUGCUUUAGGGGAGAGGGGUUCUAGUUUCUAUGACCUGCCUUGGGGAAGAGGAAUUCUGCUUUCUAUGACUUGCUUCAGGAGAAUGAGGAGUAGGAGAAAGAGGAGAGAAAAAGGUCAGAAAGACCUUGCCUCUUAAACCUUUCCAGUUUCCUUCAGUUGAAAGUAUUCAGUGUGUCAUGGGUCCAUACUUUGGGAUAUUGUUUCUGAAUCUUUUAUCCCUGCUUUGAGCUCCAGAAUAACCAGAGAAAGUCAAAUGUGUUCCCAAAUAUUCUUUAUCUGAAAUGCUUAGGACCAGAAGCCUUUCGGGUUUUAGAUUUUUUUGAAUUUGGAAUACCAUCAUGUACAUAAUAAACUCUCUUGGGGAUGGGACCCAAGUCUAAACAUAAAACUUAUUUAUGAUUCAUAUACACCCUGUACACAUACCCUGAAGGUAAUUUAAUGCAUUAUUUUAAAUAAUUUUAUUCAUGAAACAAAGUUUUGACUGCAUUGAAUUUUCUACUUGUGGCAUGAUGUCAGCACUCAAAAAAUUUUGAGUUCUGGAGUGUUUCAAAUAUCAGAUUUUCAGAUUAGGUAUGCUCCACCCGUUUAUGGUAUGUCCUGCUUUUAUUUGGCCUGCCUCUAGCAUCACCAUACCAACAAUCUCCACUAAGAGAGUUCCUGAAGUCUUCCUUUUUUUUUUUCACAAUGAAGUUCCCUCACUCCCCUACCUGUGUUGCCAUAUGCCAAAUGAUGAAUGCAAGUAAUAAAGAUUUAUUCCUUUGCAACAGGCGGCACUGAAUACCUACCUUUUGUUUGUUCUCAUUUGGGUGAUCUUCCAAAUCAUA
rnacentral:lncRNA from 1 species